rnacentral:rRNA from 1 species
UACGGGGGGGGCAAGCGUUGUUCGGAAUUACUGGGCGUAAAGGGUUCGUAGGUGGCCAACUAAGUCAGACGUGAAAUCCCUCAGCUUAACUGGGGAACUGCGUCUGAUACUGAUUGGCUUGAGUGCAGGAGAGGAACGCGGAAUUCCAGGUGUAGCGGUGAAAUGCGUAGAUAUCUGGAGGAACACCGGCGGCGAAGGCGGCGUUCUGGACUGCAACUGACACUGAGGAACGAAAGCCAGGGGAGCAAACGGG